rnacentral:rRNA from 1 species
CAGCCGCCGCGGUAAUGCGUAGGGUGCGAGCGUUAAUCGGAAUUACUGGGCGUAAAGCGGGCGCAGACGGUUACUUAAGCAGGAUGUGAAAUCCCCGGGCUCAACCUGGGAACUGCGUUCUGAACUGGGUGACUAGAGUGUGUCAGAGGGAGGUAGAAUUCCACGUGUAGCAGUGAAAUGCGUAGAGAUGUGGAGGAAUACCGAUGGCGAAGGCAGCCUCCUGGGAUAACACUGACGUUCAUGCCCGAAAGCGUGGGUAGCAAAUGGGAUUAGAUACCCCGGUAGUCCCUGUCUCUUAUAC